rnacentral:rRNA from 1 species
CGGCAAUGGAGGAAACUCUGACCGAGCAACGCCGCGUGUAUGACGAAGUACUUCGGUAUGUAAAGUUCUUUUAUCAAGGAAGAAAAGCAAAUGGCGAACCAUUUGUUUGCCGGUACUUGAUGAAUAAGCCCCGGCUAAUUAUGUGCCAGCAGCCGCGGUAAGACAUAAGGGGCAAGUGUUAUCCGGAAUUAUUGGGCGUAAAGGGUGCGUAGGCGGUCUAGUAAGUCAGUGGUGUAAUGGCAACGCUUAACGUUGUCCGGCUAUUGAAACUGCUAAACUUGAGUUAGAUAGAGGCGAGUGGAAUUCCAUGUGUAGCGGUAAAAUGCGUAAAUAUAUGGAGGAACACCAGAGGCGUAGGCGGCUCGCUGGGUCUUAACUGACGCUGAGGCACGAAAGCGUGGGGAGCAAACAGGAUUAGAUACCCUGGUAGUCCACGCCGUAAACGAUGAGUACUAAGUGUCGGGUUAAACCGGUACUGAAGUUAACACAUUAAGUACUCCGCCUGAGUAGUACGUACGCAAGUAUGAAACUUAAAGGAAUUGACGGGACUCCGCACAAGCGGUGGAUCAUGUUGUUUAAUUCGAAGAUACCCGAAAAACCUUACCAGGUCUUGACAUGUUUUUGCAAAAUGAUAGUAAUAUCGUGGAGGUUACCAGAAACACAGGUGGUGCAUGGUUGUCGUCAGCUCGUGUCGUGAGAUGUUAGGUUAAGUCCUAAAACGAGCGAAACCCUUAUCGUUAGUUGCCAGUACGUUAUGGUGGGGACUUUAACGAGACUGCCAAUGAUAAAUUGGAGGAAGGUGAGGAUCACGUCAAAUCAGCAUGCCCCUUAUGACCUGGGCUACAAACGUGAUACAAUGGCUGUUACAAAGAGUUAGCUGAA